AUGAGCAUGCAUAUCCUGGUAGUGAAUUUGAUGAUUCAAGUGAGGCUGACAGCUUAAGUGGUAGUAGUAGUUGCCUGAGCAACCGCCAAGAGGAAGUGGGAGAUGAAUUUGGAGGUCUUGCUGAAAUUGAGUCCGGUUCAUCUGUCAAUUAUUCUUUCAGUAAUUUCUCAUUUAAGAAUCUGUCCCAGCUGGCCAAGUUUGAUUACAGAUUGGCCAACAACAUCGAUGACGAGCUACAAAAGUUGCGUUGACGGGCUAAUUAUCAUGCUUUAAGAUUUACGAAACCUAUUCAAGAACUUGGGCAGAAACUUGUAACGAGAAUGCGUGCGAUGGCAA